rnacentral:rRNA from 1 species
CGGGACACGUGGUAUCCUGUCUGAAUAUGGGGGGACCAUCCUCCAAGGCUAAAUACUCCUGACUGACCGAUAGUGAACCAGUACCGUGAGGGAAAGGCGAAAAGAACCCCGGCGAGGGGAGUGAAAAAGAACCUGAAACCGUGUACGUACAAGCAGUGGGAGCCUCUUUAUGGGGUGACUGCGUACCUUUUGUAUAAUGGGUCAGCGACUUAUAUUCUGUAGCAAGGUUAACCGAAUAGGGGAGCCGAAGGGAAACCGAGUCUUAACUGGGCGUUAAGUUGCAGGGUAUAGACCCGAAACCCGGUGAUCUAGCCAUGGGCAGGUUGAAGGUUGGGUAACACUAACUGGAGGACCGAACCGACUAAUGUUGAAAAAUUAGCGGAUGACUUGUGGCUGGGGGUGAAAGGCCAAUCAAACCGGGAGAUAGCUGGUUCUCCCCGAAAGCUAUUUAGGUAGCGCCUCGUGAAUUCAUCUCCGGGGGUAGAGCACUGUUUCGGCAAGGGGGUCAUCCCGACUUACCAACCCGAUGCAAACUGCGAAUACCGGAGAAUGUUAUCACGGGAGACACACGGCGGGUGCUAACGUCCGUCGUGAAGAGGGAAACAACCCAGACCGCCAGCUAAGGUCCCAAAGUCAUG